GGCUUAUUGAUUAUAAUUUUAGGUCAAUCUGCCCAAUGAUUUUAAAUUAAAUGGCUGCAGUAUAAUUAACUGUACAAAGGUAGCAUAAUCAAUUGUUUCUUAAUUAGAAACUGGAAUGAAAGAAUUAAUGAGAUAUAUACUGUCUCAUAUAUAUUUAAUUAAAUUAAAUUUUUAGUAAAAAUGCUGAAAUAAUUUUAUGGGACGAUAAGACCCUAUAGAAUUUUAUAUUAAUAUAUAAAUUUGAUAAAUUUUAUAUAUGAAUAUUUAAUUGGGAGGAUUAAUAAAUUAAUAUAACUUUAUUUAAAAUAUAAACUUUAAUUAAAGAAUUAUUAAUGAUCUUGUAUUAUAAAUUAUAAGAAAAAAUUACCUUAGGGAUAACAGCGUAAUAUCUUUUUAAAGGUCAAAUUGAUAAAGAUGAUUGCGACCUCGAUGUUGAAUUAAGAUAAAUUUUAAAUGGAGAAAUUUAAUAAUUAAGUCUGUUCGACUUUUAAAAUCUUACAUGAUUUGAGUUCAAAUCGACGUAAGU
rnacentral:rRNA from 1 species